rnacentral:lncRNA from 10 species
GGUUGCUUUGUUUUUAAGCCAAACUCCAAAAAGAGAAAGAUCUCUCUGCCAAUAGCAUUUAUGUUCCAAGGCAUUGGUCAAAGAGAUAAGAGGACACCCCAGGGCUCUAAUUGAAAAGAGAAUCCAAUUACACCUUCCAAAGAAUUCUACCUGCUAGAGCACAAAGUUAUGGAAUCACCUGGACUAUAAGUAAAGGAAUUGGAGUGUGAUCCUGAGCCUGACCAGCUCUAUGGCUUUGGCCCUGCUGUUUAACCUUUCCCUAAGUCUCUUCAUCUGUAAAAUGAGCAACUAUACUCACUUAUCACUAAGAUUUCUCCCUAUUCUCAUUCUAUCUCUCUAAGAGCUAACAUGUAGUGCUUUGUAAGACUAUCAUAAAUACCAUGUGAAUAAAUUUGUGUUAUUAUGGAUUGUU